rnacentral:lncRNA from 1 species
CUUCAUCAUCUGAGGUAAUCUCUGUAAUAAUUGGUCCUGUGGACUGGUUAAUUUGAUGAGGCUGUUGUUCAUGAAAACCAACAUCUGAUGGAUGUCCAAAAGGAUGUUGUCUUAAUCCUCUUAAACCAAAUGUGUCUGGACUAAACAUGCUAGAUCCUCCAAAGCCUUGGAAAAUGCUAGAUCCACCAACGUCUGGAAACAUGCCAGAUCCACCAAUGCCUGGAAACAUGCCAGAUCCACCAAUGCUUGGAAACAUACCAGGUCCAACCAGAUCCACCAAUGCUUGGAAACAUACCAGGUCCAAACAUACCUUGACCAAACAUACUAGAUUCCAUCAUACCUGGACCAAACAUACUAGAACCAACCAUGUUUUGAAACCUAGAGAAAGGAUCUUCGUUCAGAUCAUCUUCAAUGGACAUGUUAGGGAAAAAACUUCUAUUUCUGAAGUCAUUUCUUCCUCCACGUCUGCCUGGCUGCAUUUUAGAAGUUGUAGAGAAAACAAUCUGCACCUGCACUUGAAGUGUAUGGAUGUUUACAGACUGAAGAAGAAGAAGAAUCUAAAUUGACAUUUAUUGAAAAGCAAAUAAUCAUAACUGAUAAAAAAAAUCAGAAAACUUCUGCAUAGUUGGAAAAAAAUUGAUUAUUGAAAAACGAAAAGAAGAAGAAAGUAAAGAAAUAACGAUUUUUUAUUUUCAUCCGAACAGUUAAAUCCCUGUUAUCAGAAAGUAGUAACCAACCCCAAACUUAUAUUGCAUACGAAGGACAAAAUAACUCUAAUCAGAAACGAUGAUCAUACAAAAUACGAAAAACAAAAGAAUCCAAUCCAAAAACGCCACCAAUCAUACAACACGAUAUAUGAAAAAAAAAACCUAACCAGAAACGUCAAUCAUACAACAGGAUCAAAAACAAAACACGCAAAAAAUCGAAAUCGCCCUUCGAUCCACCAUUUUGCGAUGCACUAUUCCGAUAAGAAAUCAAAAUCCGUGCAAAAUCUUCGAAAAGAAAAAUCGAAAAGAAAAUUUUCGAAAACAUAGAUCGAUUAACAAAAAACAACAGAAAUAAAGAAAAAAAU